CACGUAGGCGGACUUUUAAGUCAGGGGUGAAAUCCCGAGGCUCAACCUCGGAACUGCCUUUGAUACUGGGAGUCUUGAAUUCGAGAGAGGUAAGUGGAAUUGUGAGUGUAGAGGUGAAAUUCGUAGAUAUUCACAGGAACACCAGUGGCGAAGGCGGCUUACUGGCUCGAUAUUGACGCUGAGGUGCGAAAGCGUGGGGAUCAAACAGGAUUAGAUACCCUGGUAGUCCACGCUGUAAACGAUGAAUGCUAGCCGUUGGGGAGCUUGCUCUUCAGUGGCGCCGUUAACACAUUAAGCAUUCCGCCUGGGGAGUACGGUCGCAAGAUUAAA
rnacentral:rRNA from 1 species